rnacentral:rRNA from 1 species
GAUGAACGCUAGCGGCAGGCUUAAUACAUGCAAGUCGAGGGGCAGCACAGAUAGCAAUAUUGGGUGGCGACCGGCAAACGGGUGCGGAACACGUACGCAACCUUCCCGAAACAGGUGAAUAGCCCUCCGAAAGGAGGAUUAAUACACCGUAAUAUAUAGAGGUGGCAUCAUUUUUAUAUUAAAGGUCGCAAGAUCGGUUUUGGAUGGGCGUGCGCCUGAUUAGGUAGUUGGGUGGGUAAUGGCCCACCAAGCCUUCGAUCAGUAACUGGUGUGAGAGCACGACCAGUCACACGGGCACUGAGACACGGGCCCGACUCCUACGGGAGGCAGCAGUAAGGAAUAUUGGUCAAUGGAC